CAGUCGCCGCGGUAAUACGUAGGGACCAAGCGUUGUUCGGAUUUACUGGGCGUAAAGGGCGCGUAGGCGGCAAUUCAAGUCACCUGUGAAAUCUCCGGGCUUAGCUCGGAACGGUCAGAUGAUACUGCUUUGCUAGGGUACAGAAGGGGCAAUCGGAAUUCUUGGUGUAGCGGUGAAAUGCGUAGAUAUCAAGAGGAACACCUGAGGUGAAGACGCGUUGCUGGGCUGAUACUGACGCUGAGGCGCGAAAGCUAGGGUAGCAAACGGGAUUAGAUACCCGGGUAGUCCCUGUCUCUUAUAC
rnacentral:rRNA from 1 species